rnacentral:rRNA from 1 species
AACGAACGCUGGCGGCAUGCCUAACACAUGCAAGUCGAACGAGACCUUCGGGUCUAGUGGCGCACGGGUGCGUAACGCGUGGGAACCUGCCCUUAGGUUCGGAAUAACUCCCCGAAAGGGGUGCUAAUACCGGAUAAUGUCUUCGGACCAAAGAUUUAUCGCCUUUGGAUGGGCCCGCGUUGGAUUAGCUAGUUGGUAGAGUAAAAGCCUACCAAGGCGACGAUCCAUAGCUGGUCUGAGAGGAUGAUCAGCCACACUGGGACUGAGACACGGCCCAGACUCCUACGGGAGGCAGCAGUGGGGAAUAUUGGACAAUGGGCGAAAGCCUGAUCCAGCAAUGCCGCGUGAGUGAUGAAGGCCUUAGGGCUGUAAAGCUCUUUUACCCGGGAUGAUAAUGACAGUACCGGGAGAAUAAGCUCCGGCUAACUCCGUG